UGGGGAAUAUUGCACAAUGGAGGGAACUCUGAUGCAGCGACGCCGCGUGAACGAAGAAGGCUUUCGAGUCGUAAAGUUCUUUCUUAUGGGAAGAUAAUGACGUUACCAUAAGAAAAAGCCCCGGCUAACUACGUGCCAGCAGCCGCGGUAAUACGUAGGGGGCUAGCGUUGUCCGGAAUCACUGGGCGUAAAGGGUUCGCAGGCGGAAAUGCAAGUCAGGUGUAAAAGGCAGUAGCUUAACUACUGUAAGCAUUUGAAACUGCAUAUCUUGAGAAGAGUAGAGGUAAGUGGAAUUUUUCGUGUAGCGGUGAAAUGCGUAGAUAUUAAAAAGAAUACCGGUGGCGAAGGCGACUUACUGGGCUCAUUCUGACGCUGAGGAACGAAAGCGUGGGUAGCAAACAGG
rnacentral:rRNA from 1 species